ACGCUCGACACCUACGGGAAGCAGCAGUGGGGAAUAUUGCACAAUGGGGGAAACCCUGAUGCAGCGACGCCGCGUGAAGGAAGAAGUAUCUCGGUAUGUAAACUUCUAUCAGCAGGGAAGAAAAUGACGGUACCUGACUAAGAAGCCCCGGCUAAUUACGUGCCAACAGCCGCGGUAAUCUGAGCGGGCUGGCAAGGC
rnacentral:rRNA from 1 species